AACAUGGAAUCAUCUUUCAAUGCAUUUAAAACAUUUUCGAACAUAUACAAGCCACGCUUUGAAAAACUCACGGUUGUUGUGAAAACACUUACCGCUGUUUGUUAGAUUGUUGAGAUAUUUAUCCGGUCAUUAUAAGGGUUACAAUAACAUGAUUCUGUUAAAACAAGUCGACGCUGCCCAAAACAGUCAACAAACAAUCAUGGCGGAAAUGACAUGGAUUAUGUCACUUCUACGAGGAAUAUGCGUGAAAGCGUAAACAAAUCAAAUGUCAGCCCGGUGCAAUAGUCCCGCGACAGUAUUAUGAUGAUCUACUAUACUGCAGCUGCAGUGUCGAGGAACUGCUGCUGCUGAGCACAUCAUUUUCAAACCCACAACAUGAGAUUUUCAAGCAAGUUACAAGGAAGAGGGACCUUGCCAGUAACCAGGAUGCUGAAAUGAUCGAGGAGGUGAAGUUGCCAAGGGUGACAGGAGAACAUUUAUAGUUGUGAAGAAAUCGGAGGUUACAUUUACACUGAACAUAAAUCUGCUUUUGUGUUAGCUCAGUGCAGUCAAUUAGUCCAGCAUGUUACUACUCGGCCUCACUCCCAUUAAUUUACCAUCCUCAAAACUCUUUCCACUGUUACGCAACAGCACUUUUUUUAACUUGUAAAGACUGCUUCUUUCAUUAUUUAUACCCUUUCAUAGCACAUAUCUAUCUGGGAUAUAGCCCUGUAUGGGGCUGAGUAUUAAAAUGGGGCAAACUUCCUUCAGAAUUCAGAAGGAACUGCAACAUAUGUGCUCCAAAAGGUCUUCAGAAAAGCCACUUUU